rnacentral:rRNA from 1 species
CGAAAGGCGUAGUCGAUGGGAACCAGGUUAAUAUUCCUGGGCCUUCUGGGAUGUGACGAAUGCUGUAAGUUGUUACCGCUUAUCGGAUUUGCGGUGGCAGCGAAGGCGUUCCAGGAAACAGCCCCAGUAGUAGACCGUACCCUAAACCAACACAGGUGGACUGGUAGAGCAUACCAAGGCGCUUGAGAGAACUCUGCUGAAGGAACUCGGCAAAUUA